rnacentral:rRNA from 1 species
AACGAACGCUGGCGGCAUGCCUAACACAUGCAAGUCGAACGAGACCUUCGGGUCUAGUGGCGCACGGGUGCGUAACGCGUGGGAACCUGCCCUUAGGUUCGGAAUAACUCCCCGAAAGGGGUGCUAAUACCGGAUAAUGUCUUCGGACCAAAGAUUUAUCGCCUUUGGAUGGGCCCGCGUUGGAUUAGCUAGUUGGUAGGGUAAAAGCCUACCAAGGCGACGAUCCAUAGCUGGUCUGAGAGGAUGAUCAGCCACACUGGGACUGAGACACGGCCCAGACUCUUACGGGAGGCAGCAGUGGGGAAUAUUGGACAAGGGGCGAACGCCUGAUCCAGCAAUGCCGCGUGAGUGAUGAAGGCCUUAGGGUUGUAAAGCUCUUUUACCCGGGAUGAUAAUGACAGUACCGGGAGAAUAAGCUCCGGCUAACUCCGUG